GCCACUAGCCUAUUGGGGUCGGCUAGAAACCAAGUGAGGUAUGGGAGUGUACCUCACUUCCUACGCAACCAGAGAAACUAAGGUCGGGGACUUGAUUACAUUAAUUGAUCAAUUAAUGCCCUUUCGGUACCUAAUCUUGUUCAUUUUAACAAAAUGAAUUUUUGGCAAGCAGCUUGGAUUGAUUUUAUAUCUAUUCACUAACAUAUAAAGUGAUCAUGCAGGUGCACAAACAUUGAAAUAACAAUCAUAGCUAUCAAGAUCCUAAUUGCAGUAAAAUUAAAUACGUGCAAUUAAACAUAACUAGAUAUGCAAAUUAAACACACAACAUAUAAUCAAAACACAAGCAACUAAAAGGCUUAAUCAUACUAAAAAUGCAAAGCAUAGCAAUUUCUAACCAAACCCCAUCAUUUU
rnacentral:lncRNA from 1 species